CUACAGUUUUCGCGCACUACACGAGGUGACUUGGCUAUGGAAAAUUCAUGACAAUUAUGAAUGGGAUCAAGAGACGUUGAGCUUGGCAGAGGAGAAAUGUGAUCUUCAAAUUGCAGAAUCAGAGGAGGAGUCUCUGAGGCAUUCCAAAGGGAGGAAGGGGAUUCUGAUGUAGUAUCUGUGAGAAGGUACUAAAAUGUAAAGGUGGAUAUACUGUUCAUCAGCAGAUGCACUGGAAGUCAAAAGAAAAGGAGACAGUUCAGGCAUUUCUACAGAUUUCCAAGCGUGAAUGCUCUUAUGUCCAACUGAGAACAAAAAUGAUGAACAAGCAGAAAAUACAGCAGCAAAGGACAAGGAAGAGAUGGCACACAUUUCAAGAAUAAGAUUAACUUAAAAACUAUUCAGAUGAUUUCUGAGGGAUGUUACAGUUGGGAAUUCACUUUCCCAGUAAAGUACAGAUACUAGUACUUUGCUGGUGGGGGUGGAGUCAAUCCCAUGUGUGAUUUGAACCCACCCUCAUAGAGUGAAACACCUCAUCACAGAACAACAUAAUCAGCAAUUUAACCUGACGAAUGUUAGUCAAGGUCUCGUUCAGAGAAGUGUAAAUGCAAAAAUUACAAAUUUUUGCUAAGUUAUGUAAAUAAGAAUGUCAAAACUAUUUGGUUUAAUAAAUAGUAAUUUUUAAACUUA
rnacentral:lncRNA from 1 species